rnacentral:tRNA from 13 species
UCCCCAGUGGCGCAAUUGGUUAGCGCACGGUACUUAUAGGAAAGUACUUGUGAGAAAUGCCGGGGUUGUGAGUUCGAGCCUCACCUGGGGAA